UACGGAGGGUGCAAGCGUUGUUCGGAAUCACUGGGCGUAAAGCGCACGUAGGCGGAUCUUUAAGUCAGGGGUGAAAUCCCAAGGCUCAACCUUGGAACUGCCUUUGAUACUGAGGAUCUUGAGUUCGGGAGAGGUGAGUGGAACUGCGAGUGUAGAGGUGAAAUUCGUAGAUAUUCGCAAGAACACCAGUGGCGAAGGCGGCUCACUGGCCCGAUACUGACGCUGAGGCACGAAAGCGUGGGGAGCAAACAGG
rnacentral:rRNA from 1 species